GAUGACUGCUCUUUCAUCCCCUGCAUCAGUCACAACCUUAUAAAUAUCCCAAACUUCAAAGGAAAAGAUUGUUUUCAAAGUAUUUCAAGUGUAGAUUGAGAGUGGAUAUAUAUAUAUAGAUAUUAGAUAGGACGAAGAGGGAAAACGCGUCUAAAGCUUUCCUUAAUGAUUAGGAGACUGACAAAGAGAUGGAGAUUGGAGAUAAGUGGAUAAGGACAACUGGAUGUCUACGUUUGAUUUUGGAAGUUUCCUCAUAUGAGAUUUGUUUGCUUUCCAUUAGUUUAAAAUUCUUUGUAUUUUAAGAUAUUUUUUCUCAAAAUCAUACUAAUCCUCAAAGAAAAGCCAAUGUUAUCACAAUUGGAUCCAACAGGUUAAAAUAUGUAAUAUAUAUUCAA
rnacentral:lncRNA from 1 species